GAUGAACGCUGGCGGCGUGCCUAAUACAUGCAAGUCGAGCGAACGGACGAGAAGCUUGCUUCUCUGAUGUUAGCGGCGGACGGGUGAGUAACACGUGGAUAACCUACCUAUAAGACUGGGAUAACUUCGGGAAACCGGAGCUAAUACCGGAUGAUAUUUUGAACCGCAUGGUUCAAAAGUGAAAGACGGUCUUGCUGUCACUUAUAGAUGGAUCCGCGCUGCAUUAGCUAGUUGGUAAGGUAACGGCUUACCAAGGCAACGAUGCAUAGCCGACCUGAGAGAGUGAUCGGCCACACUGGAACUGAGACACGGUCCAGACUCCUACGGGAGGCAGCAGUAGGGAAUCUUCCGCAAUGGGCGAAAGCCUGACGGAGCAACGCCGCGUGAGUGAUGAAGGUCUUCGGAUCGUAAAACUCUGUUAUUAGGGAAGAACAUAUGUGUAAGUAACUGUGCACAUCUUGACGGUACCUAAUCAGAAAGCCACGGCUAACUACGUG
rnacentral:rRNA from 1 species